AAGUCGUAACAAGGUUUCCGUAGGUGAACCUGCGGAAGGAUCAUUAUUAGAAUCAAGGGUGCACUUUAUUGUGACUCUCUUUAAUCAUAACUUAAACCAUCUUUAAACCCAAAACUGUCUGGUGUGCUUUAACGAGUAUAGCCUUUCAGUAGUACGCAUCAGGGACUCUAUUGUUCAAGUUGCAUUACCCCCCCUCAUAAGUGACCCCCUUUAUUUUUUGAACCUCAUUACCCUUACAAGAAAGUUUUAAGAAUGUAAACCAAUUAUUAUAAAUAUAUAUAACUUUUAACAAUGGAUCUCUUGGCUCUCACAUCGAUGAAGAACGCAGUGAAAUGUGAUAAGUAAUGUGAAUUGCAGAAUUCAGUGAAUCAUCGAAUCUUUGAACGCACCUUGCACCUCUUGGUUAUUCCAAAAGGUACACCUGUUUGAGUAUCAUGAAACCCUCUCAUUCUGAUUCUUUAUUAAGUUAAAGGGUUGGUGAUGGAUGUUGAGUGUUGCCGUAAUUGGCUCGCUUUAAAUACAUAAGUACUUUUGUUGACAUAUGAAAAUGGAUAUAUACUUGGUGUGAUAUUAUUAUUAUCAAAUCAUUGAGGAGUGUAGUUAACUCUGCAGCCAUUUUGUGCAUGUUGAUGAAUAGCUUCCUAACCCCAUUAUAAUUUAAUCAUUUAGACCUCAAAUCAGGUGGGAUUACCCGCUGAACUUAAGCAUAUCAAUAAGCGGAGGAAAAGAAACUAACAAGGAUUCCCCUAGUAACGGCGAGUGAAGAGGGAAAAGCCCAAAUUUGUAAUCUGGCCUUUCUUGAAAAGGUCCGAAUUGUAAUUUUGAGAACUGUUUUCUGUG
rnacentral:rRNA from 1 species